GACGAACGCUGGCGGCGUGCUUAACACAUGCAAGUCGAACGGAAAGGCCCUGCUUUUGUGGGGUGCUCGAGUGGCGAACGGGUGAGUAACACGUGAGUAACCUGCCCUUGACUUUGUGAUAACUUCAGGAAACUGGGGCUAAUACCGGAUAGGAGCUCCUGCUGCAUGGUGGGGGUUGGAAAGUUUCGGCGGUUGGGGAUGGACUCGCGGCUUAUCAGCUUGUUGGUGGGGUAGUGGCUUACCAAGGCUUUGACGGGUAGCCGGCCUGAGAGGGUGACCGGCCACAUUGGGACUGAGAUACGGACCAGACUCCUACGGGAGGCAGCAGUGGGGAAUAUUGCACAAUGGGCGGAAGCCUGAUGCAGCAACGCCGCGUGCGGGAUGACGGCCUUCGGGUUGUAAACCGCUUUCGCCUGUGACGAAGAGUGAGUGACGGUAAUGGGUAAAGAAGCACCGGCUAACUACGUG
rnacentral:rRNA from 1 species